rnacentral:lncRNA from 1 species
CCGCCGCGCCGGCCGCUGGAGCGAGCGCCACCCGGGCCACCUGGCUGCGGCGAAGCGGCGAGACUCGGUGGCCACCGCGGGACUCCGAGGAGCUGCGGCCGCUGAGCGCAUCGGAGGGCGGGCGCGCCGAGGCGCCGGGUGGGAGCGGAGGUGCGGAUAGGGACUCUUUACCGGAAGUCGGAGGGGUCAGACGGAAGCAGAACGUGAGGUGGCCCCGGGGCCGGGAGGGACACGUGAGGAGCGGGCGGCGCGCUGGGUUGCUUUCUCGGGGGUCGGGUGAGGGCCAGGCGGCGGUCCCUACCCGGAUCCGCCUUCCUCAAGGCGGGUCUGCCCUUCGGGGAGGGCGUGUCGGUCUCAGCCUCUGGGGCCUGCCUGGUGUGGAGGACAGGAGAGAAGCAUUUCUUCUCCUACUGUAUUCCUUCAGCAUCUUCACUUCUGCGGGGACCUAGUUUGCCCCCACCUGAUGCAACCCAGAAAAUGGACUGACUGCGAGUGCCUUGGGGCGGAGAAUGUGUCUUGCUACGUGUAAAGCACCUAGAACCCUGCCAGAUUCAGGGGACACAGCAUCCUGCCGUUUUCCUGCCGUCCCCCGCCCGCCACACAGUAGGCGCUCCAGUGGCUCGGGGCAUCUACCAGGCAGGCCGCGCUGUCCUGCCCUGCCGGGGCUGGAGUGGAGCAACCCUCCGGGGCCACCCACAUCUGGGUACCUUUUCCCCACUUUUUCCACCCCAGCCGCGCACAGUCACCAGAAAACUCUUUUAGGUAUCUGACCUUCAUUUGAACCUAUGUUCCCUCACUUGAACUUCUUUUUCCUCAUUCAUGAGAUUCUAAAGGAAAUAUAUGGGAUUGGGACUGGUAGAACUACGGAUAAUGGGAUCUCCCUCGGUAGAGACAGAGCCGACCUCAAAACAAUGUGCGAACUUUAGACCUUGGACCCUUUAGAAGUUUUAAUUUAACUUACCCAGCCAGCACAGUAGACUCUUUUUAAAAUGUGUUGCAGUUAAACUGGAAGCAAGUAGAAAGUAGGUAACUUUUUUUUUUUUUUUUGAGCAGUGAAUCUAUUGUUUUUUAAAGUGAAAUGACUUCAGGAAAUAAUAGGGGAAGAAACACCAAAAUUCCCCUCAAUGUCCUAGAACUGUCCAGAUAAAGGUAAAGACUUAGAUAAACGUGGAGAAUGAUUGAACCAGCAGUUUUCAGUAGUCCAACUGAAAUUAACCUCCUAGAUAGUCCAGGCAAAAAUGAUCAUUGUAUUCUGCCAAUGUAGGAAAUCAGUUUUAUUUCCCAUCUAAGGUAAAAAGUAGAUCAAGGGACCAUUGCAAAACCCUUUAAAAAUUAACCUAGCCUAGCCAACAUGGUGAAACCCCGUCUCUACCAAAAAUAUAAAAAUUAGCCGGGUGUGGUGGUGGGCGCCUGUAAUCCCAGCUACUCGGGAGGCUGAUACAGGAGAAUUGCUUGAAUCCGGGAGGUGGAGGUUGCAGUCAGCCGAGAUCAUGCACUCCAGCCUGGGCGACAGAGCGAGACUCCGUCUCAAAAAAUAAAUAAAUAAAUAAAUAAAUAAAGUAACCUAAAGGAAACUGGAACUAAAAAACCAGUUGAAACAAAAAAAUACCUGUACCCGGCUGUGGUACAGGCCAGGGCUGCUGUGAGGGGAAGCUCCUGGAGAGGGUGACAUGGGGCAGGGACCCAAAUGAGCAUGGGCAUGAGGAUCCUGGGGAGAAACGCUCCAGGUGGAGGGCACAGCGAGGGCAAAGGCUCUGAGGGGGGAGUCUGAGGAACAGCAAGGAGGCCUGCAAUGGAGCAGGUCGUCAAUGGUGUCCCGUUAUAUUCUUUCUUUAAUAGAAAUACAAACACUUGGCCUGGCGCGGUGGCUCACACCUGUAAUCCCAGCACUCUGGGAGGCCGAGGCGGAUGGAUCACCUGAGGUCAGGAGUUCAAGACCAGCGUGGCCAACAUGGUGAAACCCCAUCGCUACUAAAAAUACGAAAAAAUUAGCUGGGCGUGGUGGUGGGCAUCUGUGAUCUCAGCUACGCAGGAUGCUGAGGCAGGAGAAUCGCUUGAACCCAGGAGGCGGAGGUUACAGUGACCAAAGAGGGCACCACUGCACUCCAGCCUGGGCAACAAGAGCGAAACUUUAUCUAAAAAAAAUAAAAAUAAAAAAAUACAAUCACUUUUCUCUGAUUGGAAUCAAGGUCCCAGAAUACAAUCUUAAGAACAAGUUUUGGCCAGUGUGGUGGCUCACGCCUGUAAUCCCAGCACUUUGGGAGGCAGUGGCCGGUGGAUCACCUGAGGUCAGGAGUUCGAGACCAGCCUGGCCAAUUUUUAGUAGAGCCCAUCUCUACUAAAAAUACAAAAAUUAGCUGGGUGUGGUGAUGCGCACCUGUAGUCCCAGCUACUUGGGAGGCUGAGGCAGGAGAAUGGUGUGAACCUGGGAGGCGGUGCUUGCAGUGAGCGGAGAUCACACCACUGCACUCCAGCCUGGGCGACAGAGCGAGACUCCGUCUCAAAAAAAAAAUAGUAAGUUUCAGGUCGAUGGAAGUUGAAUAAGAAGGCCUAGGCUGGAUACAGUGGCCUACACCUAUAAUCCCAGCACUUUGGAAGGCCAAGGCAGGCAGAUCCUUUGAACCAAGGAGUAGGAGACCAGCCUGGGCAACAUAGUGAGACCCUCCUCUCCAUAAAAAAUUUUUCAAAAUUAAAAAAAAAGAAGGCCUGAAGCUGACAUAGCUGAGAAAGUUUGUUUUAACUCACUACCAUUGAAUAAAAACUUAAUAGUUUUAUCAAGAUAUAAUUUACAUACUAUGAAAUUCACCUAUUUUGUGUACAAUUUAAUGAUUCUCAGUAAAUUUACACAGUAAAUUUGCACAACCAUUGCCACUAAUUUCAGAACAUUUCCAUUACCCCAAAAAGAUCCUUCACGAUGGUGGGCAGUUUGGUUCCCAUCCUUAGCCCCAGGCAACCACUCAUCUACAUUUUCUCUCUAUGGAUUUGUCCAGAUUUUUCACAUAAGUAGAAUCUUACAGCAUGCAGCCUUUUGUGUCUGCCUUCUUUCAUUUGUCAUAAUGUUUUUGAGGUUUAUCUAAGGUUGUGGCAUGUAGCAGUAUUUCAUUCCUUAUUAUUGCUAUGUCAUAUUCCAUGUAUGGACAUACCACAUUUUGUGUCUACUUUCCAAUUGUGGAUGUUUAGAUUGUGUCAACUUUUUGAGUAUUAUGAAAAUGCUGCUGGGGCUGAGAUUGGUGGCUCACUCCUGUAAUCCCAACACUUUAGGAUACCGAGAUGGGAGGAUCACUUGAAUACCCCGGAGUUUGAAACCAGCCUGGGCAACAUAGAGAGACCCUGUCUCUAUGAAAAACUUUAAAAAUAAAAAAUUAGCUGGUUGGCUGGGCGUGGUGGCUCAUGCCUAUAAUCCCAGCACUUUGGGAGGCCGAGGUGGGUGGAUCACCUGAGAUCAGGAGUUCGAGACCAGCCUGGCCUACAUGGUGAAAUCCCGUCUCUACUAAAAAUACAAAAAAUUAGCCAGGCGUGGUGGCGGGCACCUGUAAUCUCAGCUACUUGGGAGGCUGAGGCAGGAGAAUUGCUUGAACCCAGGAGGCGGAGGUUACAGUGAGCCGAGAUUGCACCAUUGCACUGAAGCCUGGGUGACACAGCAAUACUCUGUCUCCAAAAAAAAAAAAAAAAAAAAAUUAGCUGGUCAUGGUGACACGCACCUAUAGUCCCAGCUACUAGGGAGGCUGAAGCAGAAGGACCGCUUGAGCCCAGGAGAUCGAGGUUGCUGUGAGCUACGAAUGCGCCACUGCACUCUAGCCUGGGCAACAGACCAAGACCCUGUCUCGUUCAGUUAAUAGAGUUGCUAAAACACACACACACACACACAAAGAAGAAGAAAGAAAAAUAAUAAUGCUGCUAUGAACAUUUGUGAACAUAUAUCUUCAUGUGGAUAUAUGUUUUCAUUUAUCUUGGGUUGGUUCCUACAAACGAAAUUGUUGGGUGAUGUGGUAAGUUUAUUUAGUUAUUUUUAUUUUAUUUAUUUAUUUAUGGAAACUACCUUUUCUCUGGACUUCAGAAGGCUUAAGCUUUAUAUGAAAAUAUCAGAGUAGGCUGGGCACGGUGGCUCAUGCCUGUAAUCCCAGCACUUUGGGAGACUGAGGUGGGCUGAUCACCUGAGGUCAAGAGAUCGAGACCAUCCUUGCCAACAUGGUGAAACCCUGUCUCUAUUAAAAAUACAAAAAUUAGCCAGGCAUGGUGGCUCACACCUGUAAUCCCAGCACUUUGGGAGGCCAAGGCGGGCAGAUCACGAGGUCAGGAGAUCAAGGCCAUCCUGGCUAACACAGUGAAACCCCGUCUCUACUAAAAAUACAAAAAAAUAGGUGGGUGUGGUGGCGGGCGCCUGUAGUCCCAGCUACUUGGGAGGCUGAGGCAGGAGAAUGGCAUGAACUCGGGAGGCGGAGCUUGCAGUGAGGUGAGAUGGCGCCACUGCACUCCAGCCUGGGCAACAGAGCGAGACUCUGUCUCAAAAAAAAGAAAAUACAAAAAUUAGCUGGGCAUGGUGGUGUGCGCCUGUAGUCCUAACUACUCGGGAGGCUGAGGCAGGAGAAUCGCUUGAACCUGGCAGGCAGAGGUUGCAGUGAGUCAAGAUCAUGCCACUGCACUCCAGCCUGGUGACAGAGUGACACUCCAUCUCAAAAAAAUAAUAUAUAUAUAUAUAUAUAUUAGAGUAAUGCACCUUAAAAGAAGUGGUGUGUCAGGCAGCCUCUAUGGCGGUCCCAAAUGAUUCUUGCCUCCUGGUGUUCAGACACUGUGAAAUCCUCCCCACCUGAAUUUUAAAACAAUACUUUUUUUUUUUUUUUUCGAGACAGGGUCUUACUCUGCCAACCAGGCUGGAGUACAGUUCCACAGUCUGGCUCACUGCAGCGUCUGCCUCCCAGGCGGUCCCGAGCAAUCCUCCCAUCUCAGCCUUCAGAGUAUCAGGGACUACAGGCGUGCACCACCACACCCAGCUAAUUUUUGUUAGUUUUGGGGGAUUUGUUUGUUUGUUUUUAGGCAGAGUCUUGCUGUCUUGCCCAGGCUGGAAUGCAGUGGCACAAUCUCAGUUCACUGUAACCUCCACCUCCUGGGUUCAAGUGAUCCUCCCCGCUCAGCCUUCCAUGUAGCUGGGAUUAUAGGCACUCACCACCAUGUCCAGCUAAUUUUUGUAUUUUUAGUAGAGACGACAUUUUUUCGUGUUGGCCAGAACUCCUCACCUCAAGUGAUCUGCCUGCCUUGGCCUCCCAAAGUGCUGGGAUUACAGGUGUGAGCCACCACACCACCCAACCAACAAGUGAACAUUUUGAAUGCUCUCCUUUCCCCCAAAUGAUUUUCAGACACCCCUUUAAACAAAAGCAGAGAGUCAGAGAGUUGUCUGCAAAGGCAGUGAACAGUACUCUCCUGAAAGAGUUCUGAUAUUGAGAAGUGUUGCUAAAAUUUCAACUUCAAAAAUAGCUAUGGUCAUUUCAGCCACUAUUUCAGAAAUGAAAAAAUAUCUCAAGUGAGAGAGCUUGGAGACAGACCUGCAGACUUGAGAAUCUAGUCCAGUAGAUUCUAUACUUGCUUUCUGAUUUUCAUUGACCCUUCAGCAAGCCACAGGGCCCUUUUAUUAGCCUGUUAAUAAUUUUCUUUUCUUUUCUUUUCUUUUUUGUUUUUUUUGAGACAGAUUCUUGCUCUGUUGCCCAGGCUAGAGUGCAGUGGUGUGAUCUCAGCUCACUGAAACCUCCACCUCCUGAAUUCAAGUGAUUCUUCUGCCUCAGCCUCCCGAGUAGCUGGGAUUACAGGCGCCUGCCACUGUGCAUGGCUAAUUUUUGUAUUUUUAGUAGAGGUGGGGUUUCGCCAUGUUGGCCAGGGUGGUCUCAAACUCCUGACCUCAUGAUCUGCCCGCCCCGGCCUCCCAAAGUGCUGGGAUUACAGGUGUGAGCCACUGCGCCC